UACGGGGGGGGCAAGCGUUGUUCGGAAUUACUGGGCGUAAAGGGCUCGUAGGCGGCCAACUAAGUCGGAUGUGAAAUCCCCAGGCUCAACUUGGGAACUGCAUCCGAUACUGGAUGGCUUGAAUUCGGGAGAGGGAUGCAGAAUUCCAGGUGUAGCGGUGAAAUGCGUAGAUAUCUGGAGGAAUACCGGUGGCGAAGGCGGCAUCCUGGACCGGUAUUGACGCUGAGGCGCGAAAGCUAGGGGAGCAAACGGG
rnacentral:rRNA from 1 species